rnacentral:rRNA from 1 species
UGGCUUAGAACGAACGCUGGCGGCGUGCCUAACACAUGCAAAUAGAACGAGAAAACGGGAGCAACUCCGUGAGUACAGUGGCGAACGGGUGAGUAACACGUGACUAACCUGCCUUCGAGCGGGGGAUAACCCCGGGAAACCGGGGCUAACACCGCAUAACAUCGCGAGGUGAAACUCCUUGUGAUCAAAUGCGCAAGCAGCUUGAAGAGGGGGUCGCGGCUGAUUAGCUAGUUGGUGAGGUAACGGCUCACCAGGGAGAAGAUCAGUAGCCGGCCUGAGAGGGCGCACGGCCACACNGUAAUGAAACACGGGACGGACUCCUACGGGAGUCAGCAGUGGGG